rnacentral:rRNA from 1 species
GACGAACGCUGGCGGCGUGCCUAAUACAUGCAAGUAGGACGCAGUUGCGAACGGGUGAGUAACGCGUAGGUAACUACCUAUUAGAGGGGGAUAACUAUUGGAAACGAUAGCUAAUACCGCAUACUAGUAGAUGGACCUGCGUUGUAUUAGCUAGUAGGUAGGGUAAUGGCCUACCUAGGCAACGAUACAUAGCCGACCGUAGGGUGUGAGCGGCCCAACUGGUACUGUGACACGGCCAAUGCUCCUCCGGGAGGCAGCAGUAGGGGAUCUUCGGCAAGUGGGGGAACCCUGACCAGGCAACGCCGCGUGAGUGUAGAAGGUUUUCGGAUCGUAAAGCUCUGUUGUUAAGGAAGCGGUACUUAACCAGAAAGGGACGGCUAACUACGUGCCAGCAGCCGCGGUAAUUC